AGUUAGCUUUAUAUUAUAAUGUUGAAUUAAAAUAAGAAAAGAAAUAACAAAAUAACAAAAGGAAAGCUAAGAGUCUAAGUUCUCAGAAGAGAGAACAUAGUUAUUAUCGCCAGGAUGUUCCACUUCGAUCACCGCGUCAAAAAAACAAAAUUUAUGUUGUUGCCAAAUUUCUGAAAGAUCUAGAUCAUGAUCUUGCCAAAAUUCUAAAAAAUAUUUUUGACUCCUACCCCACUCACCAUUUAUUUCUUCAUUAUCGUAAUCAAGAGAAGCAAUUUCAUUGUCAAACUCUCUAGAUCUACAAUUGGUCGAUCAACAAUCAAGAGUUCUUUCAUCAAAUGAGAGUAAUAUUAAUAAUUGAUUAUGAUGAUUGUUAUUGUCUCAGAGAGAUAUAAAUGGACUUUCUGCUAAAAAUAUUGAGUAGAAGUUGGGUCUGCAGACAAUGGAACAUCAAACUUUGGAGAUGGUAAUAUGCUAGUGAACCCUAAUAAUGCAGAUAAUAAUGCAGAUAGACAUUCACUUGAUUGAGCCUUGGUUGAUCGGAAGUUUGUUCGGCAACCAGGUAAGAACUCAAACUUUAUUAUGCAAAAUGAUUUAAC